rnacentral:rRNA from 1 species
GACGAACGCUGGCGGCGUGCCUAAUACAUGCAAGUUGAGCGCUGAAGGUUGGUACUUGUACCAACUGGAUGAGCAGCGAACGGGUGAGUAACGCGUGGGGAAUCUGCCUUUGAGCGGGGGACAACAUUUGGAAACGAAUGCUAAUACCGCAUAAAAACUUUAAACACAAGUUUUAAGUUUGAAAGAUGCAAUUGCAUCACUCAAAGAUGAUCCCGCGUUGUAUUAGCUAGUUGGUGAGGUAAAGGCUCACCAAGGCGAUGAUACAUAGCCGACCUGAGAGGGUGGUCGGCCACAUUGGGACGGAGACACGGCCCAAACUCCUACGGGAGGCAGCAGUAGGGAAUCUUCGGCAAUGGACGAAAGUCUGACCGAGCAACGCCGCGUGAGUGAAGAAGGUUUUCGGAUCGUAAAACUCGGUUGGUAGAGAAGAACGUUGGUGAGAGUGGAAAGCUCAUCAAGUGACGGUAACUACCCAGAAAGGGACGGCUAACUACGUG